rnacentral:rRNA from 1 species
UACGGGGGGGGGCAAGCGUUGUUCGGAAUUACUGGGCGUAAAGGGCUCGUAGGCGGCCAACUAAGUCCGACGUGAAAUCCCCAGGCUUAACCUGGGAACUGCGUCGGAUACUGGAUGGCUUGAAUUCGGGAGAGGGAUGCAGAAUUCCAGGUGUAGCGGUGAAAUGCGUAGAUAUCAGGAGGAACACCGGUGGCGAAGGCGGGUCUCUGGGCCGAUACUGACGCUGAGGAGCGAAAAGCGUGGGGGAGCGAACAGG